rnacentral:rRNA from 1 species
UACGAAGGGGGCUAGCGUUGCUCGGAAUCACUGGGCGUAAAGCGCACGUAGGCGGACUUUUAAGUCAGGGGUGAAAUCCUGGAGCUCAACUCCAGAACUGCCUUUGAUACUGGAAGUCUUGAGUCCGGAAGAGGUAAGUGGAACUGCGAGUGUAGAGGUGAAAUUCGUAGAUAUUCGGAAGAACACCAGUGGCGAAGGCGGCUCACUGGUCCGGUACUGACGCUGAGGUGCGAAAGCGUGGGGAGCGAACAGG